rnacentral:lncRNA from 1 species
CGGUGCGGGCCGGUGCGGGCCAGUGCAGGCCAGGCCCGGCCGGGGCGAGGCAGGUGGCCAGGUCCGAGGACCGCGUCGCACAGCAGCUUUCAGGACCUGGAGAGAAAUCGAGGUCUCUCCUCAGAUGUCACCUCGUCAGAGUGGCCUGUGCUGACUGCCAUAUCUACAAUACCCUUCCCAACGCCUGGCAUCCGCCUCCUCACUCUUGUAUGAGUGUCUUCAAGGCACGUUCACUUGUGGCUAUUGCUUAAUAUAUUUAGUUGCAGGAGUAUAAUCUGGGGGCCCCUGGGAGACAGACCCUGGCAUGAUGGGUGUUGUGAUGGGGGAAACCGGGCCAUGUCCUGGGGACUGAGAGCAAGUUGCUGCCCUUCUGGGCCUCAGUUUCCCCUUCUGUUCCGUAAGGCCCAGGCUCUCUCCCUGCCCGCUCACGUGUCCUGGGAAUGCUGAGCCUUUGCUUUGUCCUGGAAGUGGGGUUGCCAUGGAAACAGAGGCAGGAGGCUCCAGCAGAGGCAGCAUCCGCCUCCCUUUGUUAGACCCAGGGCCUGCUUUCUGGGGGGCCCCCUUCUGUGGAGGAGUCUGUGCUUCUUGAGGGGCCAGUAGCCUCUACUUGGCCCUGCUCUGGCCGUCCUGCUCCCAGCCCCCAGCUUGCAAUUUGCUUCACUAGAUUGUAAAGCAGAUGAUGAAAGGGCAGUGUACCAGGUUAGGAGUGGAAGGUCAGGGGCAUCAGGACCCAGGGCACCGGGAAGCAGGAGUGUGUUCUCACCUCAAGUGGCUUUAGACAGUUCCCCCAUCGUCCUCUGUGCCCCUAGCCCUGGCACUCCCUCUGCACACAGCUCCGCUUUGAUCAAACCAGUGCCUGGCCCACCUCCCUGCUCCCAUGCCCACUGGGGCAGGAUGUGGGCUUGGCGGGGAGUGACACAUGGCAGCCCUAGGCGUGGCGACAACUGGAGACAUCCCGUCUGCCUCAGGUUCCCCCUUAGGGCCGGGCGAUACAGGAAGGGGGACCUGCUCGUGAGCACAGCUGGGCGAUGGGAUGCCAACUCCUUGCCCAGGUAGCCCCAGGACGGCGCUGCAGCAGGAGUGUCCCUGAUCCCGGGUGGUCGCUCUCCAGCCCGCCAGGCUCUCCGACGGGCUCAACCCGCAGCCCCUGGCCGGGGCUGGGGCCGGGACGCCAGGCCCCUGUGGGGACGGUUCCCUCCAGCAGUUGGCGA